rnacentral:siRNA from 1 species
UGAGUGUGUGAAUCCGACAUCCA